UUAAUUUGGUUCGUUCACCGGUAGAGUCUUUGCGCGAUGCGCUGUAACGUCACGCAUUCGCCGUCGGAUGUAUACUCCCACAAUGGGCCCACCGAUCUUGUGGACGCGAUCGAGUAAGAUAGCUGAAACCAUCGUCUCCCCCACACGCUUUCAAAGCACCGAUUCAAUCCCUUCCGUCUCCAGUGCGAAGCCCACGAGAGUCGUGUAGCGGAAAGAAAGCCCGCAACGACUGCAAGAUCGAUGGUAAUCGCCGCUGGGGAAGACGAGAACGGCCUCGUGGGAGCGACGGCAGGCGAUCUCGACGCCGGUUGAAGCUGGCUGCACAAUUCCACCUUCCCUGCUCGCAGCUGGGGCGCUCAUCGCACCAUUCGCUGCUCCAAAGUCCCCUUGUUCCGCGAUCUCGACGCCGUUGGAACGAUGGUUCCCGCGGCUGAUCAAAACACAGCCCGGCCGGAGAUGGUGAGGGGGAGAUCGGACGGAUCCGAGAAGAGAAAGCGUUACAUGUUCCGGAUCUGACUGUCGUGUGAGGAGAUCGUACAGGACUUUCUGGCGAUCAAGGGGACGAAGCCCCUUUGGAGGCCAAAGAAGGGGCCUAGACUCCUCCAGCGACAGCUCGAUGUAAGGUAUUUUACGCACCAAAACAGAUAUCUUUUGUAAUUUUGGUUUAAUUUCCUGCCAUUGGCUAGUGAUUGAGCCCUUUUCUACCUCUUCAAUAGUUUACGCUUUCGCUACGCUCUUUCUUCGGCUAACUCUUUCUGCAGUCGCUUUCUCCUGGAUUAUGCUUAUUGGAAGGAACUCGGGAGAUAUAUACGCUUCAAAAUCGAUGGAUUAGAUGCAACUUGGUUUGAUGUUCCUAUUUGUUUUCUCGGCGAUAAGUCGAGCUUGCUCAGAAGAGAAAAUCCUCUGCGAGGUUAAUCUAUCAGAUGGUUUGCCUGCAUCAACUCAACUAUUCAGCGAGCCUGCCAACUCGUAAGACCAUUCUUAGUGAAGCUCCAUCAAGUGAAAGUAUGGAAUUUUGUGCAGGUUUCAGGCAAUGCCGGCCCGGGAAUUCUACUCCUGGAACCAUGAAUUCUGCUCCCAUACAUUUUUAUGAUGGACAUGUUAUUUCAAAUGACGAAGAAAGUGUAAGCAUUCUUCUGAAUGAUAGAGUUAGCUAAUCUUUGUGGGCUAAGGUUUAUUAUGACGUAUGUGUUCACUAUUUACCAAUAAACAAGUACUUUUGAGCACUCUUUUUUUUUU